GGAAGGUUCUGAUGUGUGUGCAAGUCAGAGAGUCACUGCUCUAGCCUAAUGGAGGUGGAAGAUGGACACACCCUGUCUGACUACAAUAUCCAGAAAGAGUCCAGUCUGCCUUUGGUCCUGUGCUUGAGGGAAGGCUUAUUUGCAAAGCGUACUCUUUUGUUCUGGGGGAAGACCCACGCCUCUUUAAGGAACAGAGCAGACCAUGCCAAAAGCACUUCAAGGCCUUCCUUAUCGCUGUCAAUCUGGCACCCUGUGAAAGCUGCGGGGCCUUUCUACUCUGCUCCAAGCUCCCUGCUCCAUCCAGCUGGUCCUGGAAUCAGCUUUCUCUGCCUGCCUUCGUGUCACCCUCUCCCACCUGAACUCCCUCCCCGGAGCCUUCCAAGCCCACCCUUCUCUUCCACUCUAACCUCCACAGCAUUUCAGGCACUCAUUGACCAUCUCUCUGACAUUGGGUGUGGCACCAUGAUCAUGUUUGGGGGUCCCUAAGCAAACCCUGACACAUACAUGGGCCAUUCUGCCUCCUACCCCCUAGUCCCCAAUGAUAGACAUUGUCACCUAAUGCCUGAGCACCAUGAAAACUGAGGGAAAGAGGAAGAACUGCAUCUUCCUCCUCCUCAGAGGUCUCCGCUGGGGACUGGCUGAUUCCUUUAGGGCCUUAAAACAUUUCCAUUUGCAGAAUGCCCCUAAUAAAAUGGAGAAGUAAAGCUAUAAAUCCUUACCGUAUUAUUUUCAGAGCAAGAAAGAUGGUUACAGAUGGGUGGCAGAUGGGUAGCGAUGGAUGGAAUCAGUCGAUGGAUAGUAAGAAUAGGUCCUGUAGAAAUAAAACACAAGCAUUUGUGUAUUAAUUACUGUAUUAAGUCUGUUUAGACUGCUAUGACAAAGUAGCAUAGACAGGGUGGCUUAAACAACAUCGAUUUAUUAUCCAACAGUCCUGGAGGCCGGAAGUCCAAGAUCAAGGUGUGAGCACGGCUGGUUCCUACUGGGACCUCUCCUUGGCCUGUAGAUGCUGUCUUCUCCCUGUGUCCUCACAUGGUGGUCCCUCUAUGUGCAUCUGUGUCCUCAUCUACUCUUCUUAUAAGAAUUCUAGUCGUAUUGGUUUAGGGCCCACCCUAGUGAUUUCAUUUUAUCUUAAUUGCCUCUUUGGAGAUCCUAUUUCCAAAUACAUUCACAUUCUGAAGUACCAGGGCUUAGGGCUUCAACAUAUGCAUUUGUGGGGGGAGCAUAAUUCAGUCCAUAACACUUGCCCAUUGCUGAG
rnacentral:lncRNA from 1 species